UGGACAGAAAGACCCUAUGAAGCUUUACUGUAACUUGAAAUUGAAAUUGGACUUUAUUCNCGCANCAUANGUGGGAGGCGUUGAUUAUNNUCUUGNGGGAUUAUUGGAGCCAUCNNUGAGAUACCACCCUUGUAANGNNAGAUUUCUAACUUUGAAUCAUUAUCUGGUCAAAGGACAGUUUCAGGCGGGCAGUUUGACUGGGGCGGUCGCCUCCUAAACGGUAACGGAGGCGUACAAAGGUUUCCUCUGAACGGUUAGAAAUCNUAUCUANAGUGUAAAGGCAUAAGGAAGCUUGACUGUGAGACCUACAAGUCGAGCAGGGACGAAAGUCGGUCUUANUGAUCUGACGGUACUGANUGNANNNGCCGUCACUCAACGGAUAAAAGUUACUCUAGGGAUAACAGGCU
rnacentral:rRNA from 1 species